rnacentral:rRNA from 1 species
AUGGACGUCAUGGUGGACGUCUACACGGUGGAGUGCCUCUACAAGCGUUUCGGCUGCCCGACGUCCAUGGCCUACCACUCGGUCGCCGACCACGCGGCCAGCUGCAGACACGCGCCCUGCUACUGCUUCGACUGCCGGUUCGACAGCUCGCCUGUGAGCCUCGUGGGCCACCUGACGGCACGACACUCGUGGCCGGUGGAGAAGAUCCAGUACGAGGUGGCCAAAUCGUUCGUCGUGCCGGCGUCGGAGGAGGACAAGCGCCGCCUGCUGGUCGCGGAGGACAACUGUGUGUUCCUCCUGGCCGUGGGUGCCGGCAGGGACCCGGGCGGCCGCCGGCCCGUCAACGUCGUCUGUGUUAGGGGCAACGCGAAGCCUCUGUACACGGGCGUGCUCUGGGUGGACGGUCCUCCGGCGGCCCCGGGCCAACCACUCACGAGCAGCUUCCAGCUGAAAGCGACGGUGGCGAGCUGCUCCGUCCCCGGCGAGGUGGACAUGGAGCAGGGCUGGCUCCACGCGCACGUCGACCCCAACAUGAUGCACGGAGAGUCCGGCGAGCUUCAUCUGCGCCUUUGUCUCACCAAGCUCUCCUGA